rnacentral:rRNA from 1 species
GACGAACGCUGGCGGCGUGCUUAACACAUGCAAGUCGAACGGAAAGGCCCUGCUUUUGUGGGGUGCUCGAGUGGCGAACGGGUGAGUAACACGUGAGUAACCUGCCCUUGACUUUGGGAUAACUUCAGGAAACUGGGGCUAAUACCGGAUAGGAGCUCCUGCUGCAUGGUGGGGGUUGGAAAGUUUCGGCGGUUGGGGAUGGACUCGCGGCUUAUCAGCUUGUUGGUGGGGUAGUGGCUUACCAAGGCUUUGACGGGUAGCCGGCCUGAGAGGGUGACCGGCCACAUUGGGACUGAGAUACGGCCCAGACUCCUACGGGAGGCAGCAGUGGGGAAUAUUGCACAAUGGGCGGAAGCCUGAUGCAGCAACGCCGCGUGCGGGAUGACGGCCUUCGGGGUGUAAACCGCUUUCGCCUGUGACGAAGCGUGAGUGACGGUAAUGGGUAAAGAAGCACCGGCUAACUACGU